CUUGCUCUGUCACCCAGGCUGGAGUGCAGUGGUGCAAUCUAGGCUCACUGCAACCUUCACCUCCUAGAGUCAAGCAAUUUUCCUGCCUCAGCCUCCCAAGUAGUUGGGAUUACAGGCAUGCGUCACCACUGCCCAGGACGUGCUUGCUCCCCCUUCAUCUUCCACUAUGAUCAUCAGCUUCCUGAGGCCUCCCUGGAAGCUGAGCAGAUGUUGGCACCAUGCUUCCUGUAAAGCCUGCAGAACUGCAAGCCAAGUAAACUUCUUUUAUAAAUUACCCAGUCUCGGGUAUUCCUUUAUAGAAAUAAAUAAAUGCAAAAUGCAAUCCUAUAAAUGCAAAAACGGCCUAAUACUUGCUCUUAAAAACAAGAGCUAUAGCUUUACUAGAUUGUUAAUUCAAUUUUC
rnacentral:lncRNA from 10 species